rnacentral:rRNA from 1 species
GGACCUUCGGGCCUCUUGCCAUCAGAUGUGCCCAGAUGGGAUUAGCUUGUUGGUGAGGUAACGGCUCACCAAGGCGACGAUCCCUAGCUGGUCUGAGAGGAUGACCAGCCACACUGGAACUGAGACACGGUCCAGACUCCUACGGGAGGCAGCAGUGGGGAAUAUUGCACAAUGGGCGCAAGCCUGAUGCAGCCAUGCCGCGUGUAUGAAGAAGGCCUUCGGGUUGUAAAGUACUUUCAGCGGGGAG